rnacentral:rRNA from 1 species
GAUGAACGCUGGCGGCGUGCUUAACACAUGCAAGUCGAACGAAGCACUUUAUUUGAUUUCCUUCGGGACUGAUUAUUUUGUGACUGAGUGGCGGACGGGUGAGUAACGCGUGGGUAACCUGCCUUGUACAGGGGGAUAACAGUUGGAAACGGCUGCUAAUACCGCAUAAGCGCACAGCAUCGCAUGAUGCAGUGUGAAAAACUCCGGUGGUAUAAGAUGGACCCGCGUUGGAUUAGCUAGUUGGUGAGGUAACGGCCCACCAAGGCGACGAUCCAUAGCCGACCUGAGAGGGUGCCCGGCCACAUUGGGACUGAGACACGGCCCAAACUCCUACGGGAGGCAGCAGUGGGGAAUAUUGCACAAUGGGCGAAAGCCUGAUGCAGCGACGCCGCGUGAGCGAAGAAGUAUUUCGGUAUGUAAAGCUCUAUCAGCAGGGAAGAUAAUGACGGUACCUGACUAAGAAGCACCGGCUAAAUACGUG